rnacentral:rRNA from 1 species
AUGCACGCUGGCGGCGUGCCUCAUCCCUGCCAGUCGAGCGAACGGACGAGAAGCUUGCUUCUCUGAUGUUAGCGGCGGACGGGUGAGUAACACGUGGAUAACCUACCUAUAAGACUGGGAUAACUUCGGGAAACCGGAGCUAAUACCGGAUAAUAUUUUGAACCGCAUGGUUCAAAAGUGAAAGACGGUCUUGCUGUCACUUAUAGAUGGAUCCGCGCUGCAUUAGCUAGUUGGUAAGGUAACGGCUUACCAAGGCAACGAUGCAUAGCCGACCUGAGAGGGUGAUCGGCCACACUGGAACUGAGACACGGUCCAGACUCCUACGGGAGGCAGCAGUAGGGAAUCUUCCGCAUUGGGCGAAAGCCUGACGGAGCAACGCCGCGUGAGUGAUGAAGGUCUUCGGAUCGUAAAACUCUGUUAUUAGGGAAGAACAUAUGUGUAAGUAACUGUGCACAUCUUGACGGUACCUAAUCAGAAAGCCACGGCUAACUACGUG